CGCUGGCGAGCUGAGCUGCACCCGGCGGCUCAGGCAGCAGGUAGCAGGCGGCGGACGGGCACGUCGAGAAUAAACGUUGCGAUCCGUGACGGUGGACAGAAAGCCACGUGGCACCUGAGGACCCGGGGAGGAGGAGACGCCACGCUCUGGGGACCUGGAAGCAGAAGAUGCUUCCUGGGCCUUAGAAACUCUGCCCGGACGGAGACCCAGGACUUGGAAACAGCGGCUCUCGGGCAGCCUUGGCCUUGGGCAGGCACAGACCCCGCUGCCCCGGACGCCUCGGUCUCAGGGCGCAGGACGUCUGCAGGGAGCACAGAUGCCAACAGAUUCUGAAAUACCCCGCUGGGCAGAGAAGAGUCCAGAAAUCCUAUUUUCGUUGGUGUGUGGGGACUCUGGACUGGAAAGGCCGCAACCAGCAGCCCGGGAGGGGCAGGACUAUUAGAGAAGCAGGUUCUCCAAGGGCCUCCUGGGCACGCCGGGGAAGACAGCUGCAGUUCAGAGCAGACUGUACCUUACGGAGCGUUCUGAGGCCCCGUCUCGAGAGCCGAGCUGGGCCCGGCGUGCAGGGGAGGCCACCGAGGCCCAGGACUGGGUCUUGCUGAGGGCUGGGGCUCACCCUCGCUCCCUCACUCCUGUGCUCCUGCUAAGCUGCUCUCACCGGCCGCACAGGGGACGCUGUCGGUGACAGCCAGAUGCAGAGCACAAUCUGGGGGCCUCUCCGGGGAGCCCACGUGAAGGCACAAAUCAUUUCCUGGGUCCUGGGACUCAGGGGACAGCCGUGGGCCGCGCAGGGGAGGAGGCCUGGGGAGUAGGAUGGCAGGGCAGCUAAACGUGGGGGAAAGCCCUCCGGGGCCUACCUGCAAUGGUCCCCCCGCAGGUGUGACUUUGCCCAGGGGGUCCCAAGUGACAGCCCAGCAGUGACAGGUCUCAGGAGGGACUCCAGAACCUGCACAGCCCAUUCAGAGCCAAGAGGGUUCCUACUGCCAGCUGUCCCUUCUCAGGCUCCCCUGGGGGAGGGAGGGCAGGUGGCCACCAGCCCCAUCC